rnacentral:lncRNA from 1 species
GUUGUGAGUCAUUAUGCCCAGCUUCUAAUACGUUUGUUUGUUUGUUUGUUUAUUUAUUUAUUUAUUUAUUUAUUUAUUUAUUUAUUUUUAAGAAUACAGACACGGGGCUGGUGAGAUGGCUCAGCCGGUAAGAGCACCAACUGCUCUUCCGAAGGUCCUGAGUUCAAAUUCCAGCAACCAUAUGGUGGCUCACAACCAUCGGUAACAAAUCUGACUCCCUCUUCUGGAGUGUCUGAAGACAGCUACAGUGUACUUACAUAUAAUGAAUUAAAAAAAAAAAAAAGAAAGAAAAAGAAAUACAAACACUCAUUUAGGGUUUCCAUGCUGUAGAUAGGUCCAGGUAUUUUUAUUGAGAUUUCAGGGAAUUUAUUUUUACCAUGGUAGCAGUUAUCUAUUUAUUGAUUUAAUUGUAAAUCUGUGUCUUGGAGAAACAACUCUUGCCUGUGUGUUCCUGGAGUUGCCAUGUCCAGUUUCAUGGACAAGACUGAACAGUUGACCGAAUUGGACCCGUAUGAUUAUUCUGAAAUUUUUACAACUUAGUGGCUUUGGUGAAAUUUGGUCUGAAUACCUAUUCUCCUGCUUUUAGAGGGAUAGAUAGUGAUGGUCAGGAUUAUCGACUAAGAUGCUGCUUCUAGAACUAUUUUAGAACUAGAAAUCAACAAAUUAUAACUGUGUUCCAGGUGGGCAGACCUGUGUUACCUUGGAAACAGUCCCUAAAGUUUGCUGAAGACUGAGAAUUUGUGUACUUUGAAGUUGCUCUUUCAUUAGCAUAAAGUGCAUCUAUCCCACCUGUUACACAGUCUCAGAAAGAUUGCAUUUCCCUGUAUUCUGACUACUGUAUUGAUCAAUUGCAGUGCUGAGGAUUGAACCCUAGGCCUUAUUUGUUACUAGGAAUAUGCUCUAUCCCAGAGCUAUGCUUUAUCCUUGUGUCUGUGUACUUAAUAAAGGAAGAAAUCAUGGUGUGUCUUCAUCCUUUUUUUUUUUUUUUUUUCCUUUUUGGUUUUUCGAGACAGGAUUUCUCUGUGUAGCCAUGGCUGUCCUGGAACUCACUCUGUAGACCAGGCUGGCCUCGAACUCAGAAAUCUGCCUGCCUCUGCCUCCCGAGUGCUGGGAUUAAGUGUGCGUCACCACUGCAAUGUCUGACUGUUGUGGUAGGUGUUGUGUGACUGGAGAUGAUCAGUUAUAAUGGUACUAGCAUUUUAUUUACACAUUUGCAAUUAUAGAAAUAUAUAUUUUUUUUUUUUGGCAGAGUUUUCUACUUACCUUUGGCUGGUUGCCCUAAAAACAAAAACAAAAACAAAACACCAAAACCAAAAAACCCAAAAAUC